GAGAAAUUGGAACUAUACAUGUACUUAUUUUUCCAUUUGAUGUCUCAUUGCAAGCUUCAGUAUUAAUUGUCACCUGACUGGGGUCCUACCUGGCUGACUGCAGCUGCCUGGGGCGCAUAAGGAACCUCAAGGACCUGUCUCGGACUGGGCUGUGAACUGCCUCUGUGCUGCCUUCCCUACAAAAACCUUGAAUCUGUCAGAUAUCUCUAUCUCAAUGUAGUGUAUUUCAGAGAGAUGGUUAAGCCUCGGUGAGCAAUGUGGUCUCCCCACAGCGAUUCUUCGGGUGCGAAGAAGACGUCAGCGAGCGAGAGAAGUGCAGUGCCUUCCAGUAAAACGCCUGGAGUCCCGGCCCCGUCUGCACAGCGAGUGAUGGAGCAGGUGGGGGGACUCGGGCUGUGCCACCCGCUUCCUCUCGCCCCCCGCUGCUGCUGCUGCUGCUCUCGAACAGCGUCUGAGAAACUUGUAUCCGCUGUCGAAGACCCGCCUUUCAUGUGGCUCAGCUCCCUUCCUCCUGCUCUCCGGGCUGCAGUGAGCGAAACCCGUGUGGUAUACAUCAGCUCUGUUUACAAACAUCGCCUGGCAGAGCCGGGCCGGGAGAGCGUGUGCGCGGAGCCAGGAAGUCAAAACUUCAGAGACACAAAGUCGGGUUUGGUGGCCACUCUGGCUCAUGCUGGUGUACAAAGAUCCCUGCUCCCACACCUGUAAGGACAGCUGCCAGGUGUCCAGGCGCUGCUGCGCGGGUUUCAAGCCGCAGUGAUCGAGUACGGAGCUGAGCCAGGGCUUGCUGAGGCAUCACGGCCGCCACGUGUCUGCAGACAUAAGACAAAGCCAGGCCUGUCACAGUCCUGCACGAGCUCUGGCUGUAGCUGAUUCGCCGGGCACCGUCUGUGUGCCGCUUAUGUUUUUGAUACUCCAGUGGCACACCAACAAGCAAACUUUCUGUGGGGCUGCUUAAAGAGCAUCCACUUCCUUUCCCACAGCACAGCAUAUUAAA